UACGUAGGGGGCGAGCGUUGUCCGGAUUCAUUGGGCGUAAAGAGCUCGUAGGCGGCUUGGCAAGUCGGAUGUGAAAACUCCAGGCUCAACCUGGAGCCGCCAUUCGAUACUGCUAUGGCUAGAGUCCGGUAGGGGAGUGUGGAAUUCCCGGUGUAGCGGUGGAAUGCGCAGAUAUCAGGAAGAACACCAACGGCGAAGGCAGCUCGCUGGGACGGAACUGACGCUAAGGCGCGAAAGCGUGGGGAGCGAACAGG
rnacentral:rRNA from 1 species